GAUGAACGCUGGCGGCGUGCCUAAUACAUGCAAGUCGAGCGAACAGACGAGGAGCUUGCUCCUCUGACGUUAGCGGCGGACGGGUGAGUAACACGUGGAUAACCUACCUAUAAUACUGGGAUAACUUCGGGAAACCGGAGCUAAUACCGGAUAAUAUAUUGAACCGCAUGGUUCAAUAGUUAAAGACGGUUUUGCUGUCACUUAUAGAUGGAUCCGCGCCGCAUUAGCUAGUUGGUAAGGUAACGGCUUACCAAGGCGACGAUGCGUAGCCGACCUGAGAGGGUGAUCGGCCAAACUGGAACUGAGACACGGUCAAGACUCCUACGGGAGGCAGCAGUAGGGAAUCUUCCGCAAUGGGCGAAAGCCUGACGGAGCAACGCCGCGUGAGUGAUGAAGGUCUUCGGAUCGUAAAACUCUGUUAUUAGGGAAGAACAAAUGUGUAAGUAACUAUGCACGUCUUGACGGUACCUAAUCAGAAAGCCACGGCUAACUACGUG
rnacentral:rRNA from 1 species